rnacentral:rRNA from 1 species
GCUUGAGCACGUAGGUGGGUUUGUAAGUCAGAUGUGAAAGCCUUCUGUUCAACGGAAGAGUUGCAUCUGAAACUACAAGUCUUGAGUGUAGGAGGGGAGAAUGGAACUUCUGGUGGAGCGGUGAAAUCCGUAGAUAUCAGAAGGAACGCCGGCGGCGAAAGCGAUUCUCUGGCCUAUUACUGACACUCAGUGUGCGAAAGCUAGGGGAGCAAACGGGAUUAGAUACCCCGGUAGUCCUAGCCGUAAACGAUGGGCACUAAGUAGAGGGGACUACCGACGUUCUCUCUGCCGUAGCUAACGCAUUAAGUGCCCCGCCUGGGGAGUACGGCCGCAAGGCUAAAACUCAAAAGAAUUGACGGGGGCUCGCACAAGCGGUGGAGCAUGUGGCUUAAUUCGAUGCAACGCGAAGAACCUUACCGGGGCUUGACAUGGUAGAAGUAGGAACCCGAAAGGGUAACGAACGGUAUCCAGUCCGUGACUAUCACAGGUGUUGCAUGGCUGUCGUCAGCUCGUGUCGUGAGACGUUGGGUUAAGUCCCCUAACGAGCGAAACCCUUGUUUUUAGUUACCAGCGGGUUAUGCCGGGUACUCUAGAAAGACUGCCGUCGUCAAGACGGAGGAAGGUGGGGAUGACGUCAAGUCAUCAUGGCCCUUAUGCCCCGGGCUGCACACGUGCUACAAUGGUCGGUACAAACGGAAGCGAAGCCGAGAGGUGAAGCGAAUCCAAGC